GUUACAGCCGCCGCGGUAAUACGGAGGGAGCUAGCGUUGUUCGGAAUUACUGGGCGUAAAGCGCACGUAGGCGGCUUUGUAAGUUAGGGGUGAAAGCCCGGAGCUCAACUCCGGAAUUGCCUUUAAGACUGCAUCGCUUGAAUCCGGGAGAGGUGAGUGGAAUUCCGAGUGUAGAGGUGAAAUUCGUAGAUAUUCGGAAGAACACCAGUGGCGAAGGCGGCUCACUGGACCGGUAUUGACGCUGAGGUGCGAAAGCGUGGGGAGCAAACAGGAUUAGAUACCCUAGUAGUCC
rnacentral:rRNA from 1 species